rnacentral:rRNA from 1 species
AACGAACGCUGGCGGCAUGCCUAACACAUGCAAGUCGAACGAGACCUUCGGGUCUAGUGGCGCACGGGUGCGUAACGCGUGGGAACCUGCCCUUAGGUUCGGAAUAACUCCCCGAAAGGGGUGCUAAUACCGGAUAAUGUCUUCGGACCAAAGAUUUAUCGCCUUUGGAUGGGCCCGCGUUGGAUUAGCUAGUUGGUAGGGUAAAAGCCUACCAAGGCGACGAUCCAUAGCUGGUCUGAGAGGAUGAUCAGCCACACUGGAACUGAGACACGGCCCAGACUCCGACGGGAGGCAGCAGUGGGGAAUAUUGGACAAUGGGCGAAGGCCUGAUCCAGCAAUGCCGCGUGAGUGAUGAAGGCCUUAGGAUUGUAAAGCUCUUUUACCCGGGAUGAUAAUGACAGUACCGGGAGAAUAAGCUCCGGCUAACUCCGUG